rnacentral:rRNA from 1 species
GUGGGGAAUCUUGCGCAAUGUACGAAAGCCUGACGCAGCCAUGCCGCGUGAAUGAUGAAGGUCUUAGGAUUGUAAAAUUCUUUCACCGGGGACGAUAAUGACGGUACCCGGAGAAGAAGCCCCGGCUAACUUCGUGCCAGCAGCCGCGGUAAUACGAAGGGGGCUAGCGUUGCUCGGAAUUACUGGGCGGAAAGGGCGGGUAGGCGGAUCGUUAAGUCAGGGGUGAAAUCCCAGAGCUCAACUCUGGAACUGCCCUGGAGGCUGGCGAUCUUGGGUGUGAGAGAGGUAGGUGGAACUCCGAGUGUAGAGGUGAAAUUCGUAGAUAUUCGGAAGAACACCAGUGGCGAAGGCGACAUACUGGCUCAUUACUGACGCUGAGGCGCGAAAGCGUGGGGAGCAAACAGGAUUAGAAACCCCGGUAGUCC